GGGAGUUUGGCCGAGUGGUUAAGGCGUCGUGUUUAGGUCUUGUUAGGUUUCUACCUGGCAAACUUGAAGUCCCGCGAUGGGAAACCGCGCAGGUUCGAAUCCUGCAGCUCUCA